rnacentral:rRNA from 1 species
GACGAACGCUGGCGGCGUGCUUAAUACAUGCAAGUCGAACGCAGUGGGGACGGGUGAGUAACACGUGGGUAACCUCCCAUCAGAGGGGAUAACACUUGGAAACAGGUGCUAAACCGAUACUGAUGGAUGGACCCGCGGUGCAUUAGCUAGUUGGUGGGGUAACGGCUCACCAAGGCCAAGAUGCAUAGCCGACCUGGUAGGUUGAGCGGCCACACUGCGACUGAGACACGGCCCAGACUCCAACGGGAGGCAGCAUUAGAGGAUCUUCGGCAAUGGACGAAAGUCUGACCGAGCAACGCCGCGUAAGUGAAGUAGGUUUUCGGAUCGUAAAACUCUGUUGUUAGAGAAGCGGUAUCUAACCCGAAAGCCACGGCUAACUCCGUACCAGCAGCCGCGGUAAUAC